rnacentral:rRNA from 1 species
GUCCACGCCGUAAACGAUGAAUACUAGGCGUAGGUGGUGUUAAAGCCAUCUGUGCCGAAGCCAACGCAUUAAGUAUUCCGCCUGGGAAGUACGGCCGCAAAGGCUAAAACUCAAAGGAAUUGACGGGGGCCCGCACAAGCAGCGGAGCGUGUGGUUUAAUUCGAUGCAACACGAAGAACCUUACCCAGGUUUGACAUACAGGUAGUAGUGAAGCGAAAAGCGGAACGAUCUUCGGAAGCCUGUACAGGUGCUGCAUGGCUGUCGU